rnacentral:rRNA from 1 species
AUACGGAGGAUCCGAGCGUUAUCCGGAUUUAUUGGGUUUAAAGGGUGCGCAGGCGGCCAUUUAAGUCAGCGGUUAAAUCGUGGGGCUCAACCCCAUUCUGCCGUUGAUACUGGGUGGCUUGAUUGCGGUCGAGGUUGGCGGAAUUCGUUGUGUAGCGGUGAAAUGCAUAGAUAUGACGAAGAACACCGAUUGCGUAGGCAGCUGACCAGACCGCAAAUGACGCUCAUGCACGAAAGUGCUGGGAUAGAACAGGAUUAGAUACCCUGGUAGUCUGCACAGUAAACGAUGAAUACUUGUUUUCGGCGAUAUAAUGUCGGAGUCGAAGCGAAAGCGAUAAGUAUUCCACCUGGGGAGUACGCCGGCAACGGUGAAACUCAAAUGAAUUGGCGGG